AAGAAAGACUGGUCGGAUCACGCGCUGUGGUGGGAAAAGAAGAAAACUUGGCUCCUUAAAACGCACUGGACGUUGGACAAAUACGGGAUACAGGCUGAUGCCAAGCUCCAGUUCACACCUCAGCACAAGCUGCUUCGCCUCCAGCUGCCCAACAUGAAGUACGUCAAGGUGAAAGUCAACUUCUCGGACAGGGUCUUCAAGGCGGUUUCUGACAUCUGCAAAACGUUCAACAUCAGGCAUCCAGAAGAGCUCUCCCUUUUGAGGAAACCCAGAGAUCCAUCAAA